AUGGGACCUCAGGUGAGG
rnacentral:rRNA from 1 species